UCCCCUGCACAGUCGGUGCCUUCGGGGCUCCACCGCCGCGUGCUCCCACCGCAAGGGGCAGGGUUAGCAGCGUGUGCUAGAGUGGAAAAGCGAACUCACUUAUCUGCAGAAGAUGGGAGCACUGAGGCUUUGGAAUCGGGAGACCUUGGCAAGUGUGGAAUGAAUUUCUUUCUGCUGGAGAACACAUGGAGCCAAGUUGCCGCAACUCUGCAACGUGCGAGAAUCUGAGCGUCGGGGAGGAAAAAAAACGGCUUUAAAGUGAUGAAGGGGAAAGAGAAACUGUGAAAGGAGAGAAAGUCAGAUUUUCUUGAAGGCCCAGCCAGCUUCAGAGUCUGCCUUCAGUACCCGUCAGGACAAAGGAUGCUGCGCCCCCUGGUGUCAGAGCGGCAGCCGGUGCCAGCGAGCUGCCGCGGAGAAGCCGCGGGCGGGCGUGAGCCCGGGGGACCAGCGGGAGAAGUCGACGGGUUGGCAGGACACAGGAAAGAACUCCUCCAAUUCAUGCAAGAGAGAAAAUGAAACUCUCCUCCGGCCUCUAUCAGGGAAGCUAAUUUUUUCCUCCUCUUUCCUGAAAGUUUCCCAAAUCCCAUGACUCUGAUUUCCAGAUCAGAGAGUAAGGUUUUUAUUUUUAUUAUCCCUUACACUUUGCAAAUGGAGAGUCCCUAAAGGAACAUUGUGAUGGGCUAAUGUUGUGAGCCUGUUGUGAGCAAGGCCUGGACUUACAUGCUGCAGAAGGAAUUCAAUCACACCUGCUCAGUGAUCUGUAAGCCCCAAGUCAGCUCCUACUUUCUCCUGAUAGAUUGCACCCUCCUCCUCCCUGCCAAGAAAUAGAAGGGUCAGGGGUGGUGACCCGAUAUUUAAAAGGUUUGAAAUUCUAUACGUGGCAUUUCUGAGUUAAGUCCUAAAUGACAGUCCCUUAAUCAUGUGGAAAAUAAGAAACCUUGCUAAAAAUUUUAACUGAAUAGCCAUUGGUUUAAAAGAAAUGGAAACUUAUGUCCACACAAAAAUUUAUCUAUGAUUGUUCACAACAGCAUUUUUAUAGCAACCGAAGGGGAAUACAAUCAAAUGUCAGUCAGCUAAUGAAUGGAUAAACAUAAUGUGGUAUAUCCAUCUAAUGGAAUACUAUUUGACAAUAAAAAGAAAUGAAAUAUUGAUACAUGCUGCAACAUGGGUGAUCCUUAAAACACUAAGCUAAGUAAAAGCCAGUCACAAAGGAACAUUGUAUAAUUCCAUUUACAUGAAAUUUCUAGAAUUGGUAAAUCUAUAGUGACAGAAAAUAAACUAAUGGUUGGCUGUGGCUUGGGGAGAAGGUGAGGGAAUUGAAAAAUGGCAGCCAAGUGAUGCUAAGUUUCUUUGUAGGGUAAUGAAAAUAUUCUAAAAUUAAUUAUGGUGGUAGUUGCACAACUCAGUGAAUGUAUUAAGAACCGUUGAAUUUUGCCCUUAAACUGAGCGAAUGCGUGGUGUGUGAAUUCUCUCUCAAUAAAGCUGUUAAAAAUAUUUUGUAAAAUGUUAAUUUAGAAAAAAAGAUCACUGGUUUAUCUCUCUUUUUCUGAACCUGAUCACCUUGGGAUAAAUGUGUUCAGGCUUAAAAGCAGAUUUUAGGAGCUAACUAAAUGAGAAUGUGAAAAAUAGUGAUUUUUCCUUAGGUGGAGAGAGUCUGAUUGGCAGGUGCACGCAUACCCACAAUACUCAUACCUAUAACUCUUUUAAACUUUGCUGAAAUGUUUUUCCUUAGCCUAAAAUCAUUAAAACUACAUUUAAAUAAUGUCA